rnacentral:rRNA from 1 species
GAUGAACGCUAGCUACAGGCUUAACACAUGCAAGUCGAGGGGAAACGACAUCGAAAGCUUGCUUUUGAUGGGCGUCGACCGGCGCACGGGUGAGUAACGCGUAUCCAACCUGCCCACCACUUGGGGAUAACCUUGCGAAAGUAAGACUAAUACCCAAUGACGUCUCUAGAAGACAUCUGAAAGAGAUUAAAGAUUUAUCGGUGAUGGAUGGGGAUGCGUCUGAUUAGCUUGUUGGCGGGGUAACGGCCCACCAAGGCGACGAUCAGUAGGGGUUCUGAGAGGAAGGUCCCCCACAUUGGAACUGAGACACGGUCCAAACUCCUACGGGAGGCAGCAGUGAGGAAUAUUGGUCAAUGGACGAGAGUCUGAACCAGCCAAGUAGCGUGCAGGAUGACGGCCCUAUGGGUUGUAAACUGCUUUUAUAAGGGAAUAAAGUGAGUCUCGUGAGACUUUUUGCAUGUACCUUAUGAAUAAGGACCGGCUAAGUCCGUG